CCCUUAGAUGUCCGGGGCCGCACGCGCGCUACACUGAAGGAAUCAGCGUGGCUUUCUCCCUGACCCGAAAGGGUUGGGAAACCCGUUGAAUCUCCUUCGUGAUAGGGAUUGGGGCUUGAAAUUGUUCCCCAUGAACGAGGAAUUCCCAGUAAGCGCGAGUCAUAAGCUUGCGUUGAUUACGUCCCUGCCCUUUGUACACACCGCCCGUCGCUACUACCGAUUGAAUGGUUUAGUGAGAUCUCCGGAUUGGCUCUGUAGGUCCCGCAAGGGAUUUAUUAGUAGCCAAGAAGCUGCUCAAACUUGAUCAUUUAGAGGAAGUAAAAGUCGUAACA
rnacentral:rRNA from 1 species